UGAGGAAUAUUGGACAAUGGAGGAAACUCUGAUCCAGCCAUGCCGCGUGAGUGAUGAAGGCCUUCGGGUUGUAAAGCUCUUUCAGGUGUGAAAAUGAUGAUGGUAACACCAGAAGAAGCCCCGGCUAACUCCGUGCCAGCAGCCGCGGUAAUACGGAGGGGCGAGCGUUGUUCGGAAUCACUGGGCGUAAAGCGUGCGUAGGCGGUUAUACAAGUCAGGAGUGAAAUCCCAGGGCUCAACCUUGGAAUUGCUUUUGAGACUGUAUGACUAGAGAUCUAGAGAGGUUGGGGAAUUCCGAGUGUAGAGGUGAAAUUCGCAGAUAUUCGGAGGAACACCAGUGGCGUAGGCGCCCAACUGGCUAGAUACUGACGCUGAGGCACGAAAGCGUGGGGAGCAAACAGG
rnacentral:rRNA from 1 species